GGACAAUUACCCAAGCCCGGUUGAAGGGGACGGUCUCGAAAACCGUUAGGAGAGGCAACUCUCGCGGGGGUUCGAAUCCCUCAUUGUCCGCCA
rnacentral:tRNA from 2 species